UACGGAGGAUCCGAGCGUUAUCCGGAUUUAUUGGGUUUAAAGGGUGCGUAGGUGGCUUUUUAAGUCAGGGGUGAAAGACGGCAGCUUAACUGUCGCAGUGCCUUUGAUACUGAAGAGCUUGAAUACAGUUGAGGUAGGCGGAAUGUGACAAGUAGCGGUGAAAUGCAUAGAUAUGUCACAGAACACCAAUUGCGAAGGCAGCUUACUAAAGUGUGAUUGACACUGAGGCACGAAAGCGUGGGGAUCAAACAGG
rnacentral:rRNA from 1 species